rnacentral:lncRNA from 1 species
GGCCGCCUCAGCGAAAAAAAUGUCCGCCUGAGGAGACCCACAAGUUCUAUUCGGGGGGACCGUCAGCCCGCCCCGGUAGGAAGGGGCGGCCAGGCCCGAGAGCCGCCUCCCCCGCCCGGAUCCGAGAGCUUGCGCGGGGCAAAGUGAGCCGAAUCGCCGGGCGGUGCGAGGGGAAGCCCGAGCCCGCACUCCUGGCCAAAGUGAACUUUAAUCGGGGUGGUUGGAUGCGGAGACGGGGCGGCAGGACCUACUAGAAGUGGCCCAAGAUGAAUCCCCAACAGCAGCGCAUGGCCGCUAUAGGGACCGACAAGGAGCUGAGCGACCUGCUGGACUUCAGUGCGAUGUUUUCUCCACCUGUUAAUAGUGGGAAAACCAGACCAACGACACUGGGAAGCAGUCAGUUCAGCGGAUCAGGGCCAAACCUGCAGCAUAUGUAAGUUCUGAGGGGUCGAAUUGGAGCUGCAGUUGCCAGCCUCCACCACAGCCACAGCUCACAGCUCACAGCAAUGCCAGAUCCUUGACCCACUGAACGAGGCCAGGGAUCCAACCCGCAUCCUCAUUGAUACCAGUCAGGUCUGUUACUUCUGAGAUGACAACUCCCAAUCCUAAUGAUUCUUACAUUCUUGUGGCUACCUAGGUGAUGGUAAUUGGCUUUUACCUGUUUAAUGUUAAUACAUUUAUUUGUUAUGGUGCAGCUUUGUUCUUUAUCCUAGGUUGAUAGCUUAUUAUUGUAAUAGGUGUUUUUCCAAAUGUUUAAAACCUGUCAUGUCGUGCCUAUAUGUGAGUCUGUUUUCUCUGUCCUUUACUGGCCAUUAGAGUCUUGAUUCAGGUUCACUAGGUGUAUGUCUGCUUUUUGUUGGAACAUUACAGACCAACUUCCUUUACUUACUUAUCACUCUAAAUUUGCAACAUCUCCAACUGUCUUAGUAUUUCAUACUUGUGUUUAAUUUCAAGAGAUAAUGUUUAUUAACAAGCUAAUGGAUUGACUAGUGUCCAAAUGGUCACCUAUGUCUCACCCAGUUUGUUGGGGUUAGGGACACAACUAUAAAUUGGUAAAAACAUGGCUGCCUCGGGCUGCCCAUUUCACUGGGAUUAUGAGUGGGGUUUGUGCAUAUGUGUAUUAUAAAAGUAAUUAAAUGAAUCCUCCAUGUAUUAGAUUUCUUUGAUUAACUUUAUGCAUGUUCAUUAACACAUUUUUUGGGCACUUGUAAAAAUAUACACUGAUAGAUGAUGGUUCUACAAAGAUGGCUAGAGAUGGGUAUAAUCCCUGCUCCCAAGGAGUUAUAAUCUUAGUGGGAGUGACACAUAAACAAUAAAAAUAAUGUAAUACAGUGAUAAUGAGCAGGUAACUAAUACAAGUAGACUACUUAGUCCUACUAAAUAAGGACUCAGAGUUGGAUUUCCAUCCCUGAGACAAAUUAUGUGGCCUUGAGUAAGUUUCCUAAAAUAUCAAAAUAACAGUCUUUAAAAAGAGAGUGAUGCACAGGUUCAUUAUUCUUUCUCUUGAAAGUGUCCUGUAGAAGUGUGAAGUACAACAAAACAUUGUAAUUGUUUUAUUGGUCUAUUUCAUUACCUUCAAUUUUGGUGUAAUAAUUUUUUAAAGAUUUAGUAAUCUUUGUAAUUUUUGAAAGAUUAAUUUUCCCUACUGUUCUUGCCUAGGAGGACAUAAAAUCUUUUUGAGUUUUGACUUUUGCUUCCUUCUUUCCUUCUUUCCUUUCUCCUUUCCUUUCCUUCUCUUUCCUCUUUACAGUCCCACUUCUCUUCCCUCCCCUCUGUCUCCUCCCCUUCCCCACCUACCCUCUGCAAAUGGAAGUUUUUAGUGCAGGGAUUGAAUUCGAGCUGCAGCUGCAACCUAGGCCACAGCCGUGGUAAUGCUGGAUCCUCAAUUCACCAUGCUGUGCUGGGGGUAGAACCCAUGCCUCUGCAGCAACCCAAGCUGUUGCAGUCAGAUUCUUGACCCAUUUCACAACAGUGCGAACUCCCAACUUUUGCUUUCUUUUUCGUGUAGACAUAAGUUUUGUUGUGAUUUAUAAAGUUUUGUUCAUUUUAUAGUACUGGCUGUUCUCUUAAUUCUUCUCAUAGGUUUUUUGCUACUUUACCAGGUUCUUUCCUUGUGUGUUCUUGGGCCUUUCUUUAUUUAUUUUUACUUUUCUCUUUGAAUUUAACAUUUGAACUUCCGUCUGAAUAUUUGAGGUUAUACUUUUAUACAUAAGCAUUAUUUCUAUCUAUAUUAUUUCUAAGUUGCUCUACUUUUUUCAACUUUUAAAGCCAAUUUUGUUGGAAUUGUUUUCUAUUCGAGUUUAUAUCGAUAUGCCAGUAUUAAGUGAUUAGUCAGGAGUAAAGGCACCUGUUACUUGUGUGACUGUAAAUCUGUGUAUUUUUUUCCCCUGAACUCAACCACAGAUUUUAUUGUUUAGAAGCCAGAUAGUUUAUGUUUUCAAGGAGGGUUACUCUCUGUAGUUAAUUCUGUUGGGAAAUCUGAAAAUGAUUAUUUUGUUGUUCAUUUGAGGCAGAUAACAUGUCACUCAUUUUAGGUCAUGUACUGUUAGAUAAAGUAGUCACUCACAUUUGGAUGGUUACCUUAUUGGAUAAGUGGGUAUCUCACUUAAUUUUUCUAUUGGCGUCUUUACAUUUACAGCUAUCCCCAAAAUUAGCUCCUCACAAAGGUGGCUGACAAAUAUAUAUGUAUAUAUUAUUUACUAUAUGUCACUUGUGUAUUGAAUAUACAGUAUAGUUAUUGAGUCUGGGAUUUAAAUGGCAUUCAUAAAUAAAAACACCAUAUUCCAUCACACAGUUAAUAUUGACUGUUCCUCUAGGUAUAUAUAUGUAUAUAUUCACACAUUUUUGUCUUUUUUUAGGGCAGCACCUGUGGCAUAUGGAAGUUCCCAGGCUAGGGGUCAAAUUGGAGCUGUAGCUGAUGGGCCUAUGCCACAACCACAGCAAUGAAGGAUCUGGGCUGUGUCUGUGACUUACACUAUAGCUCAUGGAAGUGCCCGAUCCUUAACCCACUGAGUGAGGUCAGGGAUUGAACCCACGUCCUCUUGGAUACUAGUUGGGUUUGUUAUUGCUGAGCCACGACGGGAACUCCAUAUCAGUAGAUUUUCUUAUUGUCUAAUUCAUGCUCACGGUUUUUCAGUUUUUUUGAAGAAUAUUAUUUUCAGUUAAUCUAUGCAAACCAGGUCCAAUCCAGAAUAACUCUUUGCAUUUGAUAACCCCUUAAGUCUUUUAAAUCUAACAUGGCACACUGCUGCUCUCCCCAACUCCCACCCCUGUCCCGACACACACACUCCUUUUCCCUGGUACUGACUUUUUGAUUAGACAUUACCUUUCCUGUGCAUGUUUGUUUUGUUUGGCAGGAGACAGGGCAUGUCUUGUUGUUUCCUCUUGGUGUCCUUUAGCUUACUUCUCUAUAGCUUGUAACUUUCCCCCCCAGCUCUCUGUAUCUUUCUCGUAUUUUUAAGUAAGUAUAUAAUUUUAAAUCUAGCUAAAAUAUAACCCCCAAUUGAUCUUUUAUCAAGAUCAAUAUGGUAACUAUAAAAAUGAAAUGAUUUUAUUCCCUAUCUUCCUUUUUGUUCAAAGGCCAGAAAAGAAAGAUGAGUUUUCAUGAAUUAUCUAUGUACAGAUUUCUUAAUUUAAAAUAAAUUGAUAAAAAGAUUUAAAUUCACUUAUUCCACAAAUGCUGUUAUCUCUAACCUGUAAUAAUAUACUUGAGUGAAAAUUCAAUUUAUCUCUAGUGUUUCCUUUAAAAAUACUUGACGGAAUGUUUAAAUUAAUAUUUUCUCUAAAAAAGAAAGUGUAAAUUAGGUGCAAUGCUCAGCAUUUGCUUACCUUACCUUUUAUUAAUAUGACCAUUAUUGAUCAAAUUAUAGUUUUAACUAAAGAGUCAGUUCUUAAAACUUACAUCACCUUAUGUUUCAGUUUUGGGAAAUGUGUAUUGUCUAGUACAGAAUGUUUUAAUGAUUAUUUAAGAAAAUUGAUUCCUGAGAGAUUUGACAUUUUUGAUAUAUUAUUUGAUUUUCAUUGCUUCUUAAUUUUCCUUGUAAUGGGGAAAGUGCUGAUAGACUCUUUUCUACCAGACCUUAAAAAUUCACAAACUGGAGUUCCCGUC